ACUCUCUGUCUGGUUUAAGGGAAACAUCAGCAAACAAACUCUUCAAAAAACCCCAUCACUGCCCACCAAUCAAAGAGGAUGAUGCUGCUGGUUCAACCAAUCCAAGGCAGGAACAGAGGGAGGAGAGGUGAAGCCAGGAUGAGAGAGGCCCAUCCCAGCUGUCAUCGGCCGAGAGGCAGGGCACACCCUGGACUGGUUGCCAGUCAAUCACAGGGCUGACAUACAGUGAUGAACAGCCGGAUGUGCACAGGCAGAGACACACAAACACAUACACACCAGUAACAUUAAUUGUUGUCAAUUUUGUUUCUCUUUUCAUCUGUGUGUUAUUCUGUUUGUAAAGGAGGUUCAAAAACUAGGGUUGACUUGUAAUGAUGGUUAUGUAUAUAAUACUCUAUGUUGUAAUAUCAAAACGUGUCUCCAGUC